UUUGCCCUUUUGCCUGUUUGUUACGACUCCGCCUCUUGCCUUUUCCCUUGACUCUAAUGACAGAGUUUUCCUGGUUUUGGAUUUGAUCCUGGCCUUUUCUGACAGUUAUUUGGACGUUUCUGUCCUGUUAAACACGGUAAACGCCUGUUUUUGGUAGAUCUGCCUCUCCCUGCACAAAACGACAUCUUGUUGAGAAAUUAAAGGAAGAGUGUGAAUCAAUGAGUGGAGAAACAUGACGAGUGCAGAAAAACAUCUUAUCAAGAAUGCUGAGAGGUUCCAGCUGACCUCAAUUUGGGAUCAAGAUGAUCGAGGAAAAGAUCCAAGUGGCUUCGAACGAAGGUUCAUUAUUGGAUCAUAGAUGCAGGAGCUUCGGUCACAAAGACCAGCAGGACCAGUGAGUCGGGUGAGAAGGUCAAUGCAGGACAUGACCAGACUGUCAGCAAGAACAAGAAUCCUCACCUGUAAACGAAUGCGCAGAGAGGACAUUAUAGCAGAGAUGCAGAGCUGAAACCCCUCUAUAUGAACAUCAGUGA